GAUGAACGCUGGCGGCGUGCCUAAUACAUGCAAGUCUAGCGAACAGACGAGGAGCUUGCUCCUCUGACGUUAGCGGCGGACGGGUGAGUAACACGUGGAUAACCUACCUAUAAGACUGGGAUAACUUCGGGAAACCGGAGCUAAUACCGGAUAAUAUAUUGAACCGCAUGGUUCAAUAGUGAAAGACGGUUUUGCUGUCACUUAUAGAUGGAUCCGCGCCGCAUUAGCUAGUUGGUAAGGUAACGGCUUACCAAGGCAACGAUGCGUAGCCGACCUGAGAGGGUGAUCGGCCACACUGGAACUGAGACACGGUCCAGACUCCUACGGGAGGCAGCAGUAGGGAAUCUUCCGCAAUGGGCGAAAGCCUGACGGAGCCACGCCGCGUGAGUGAUGAAGGUCUUCGGAUCGUAAACCUCUGUUAUUAGGGAAGAACAAAUGUGUAAGUAACUAUGCACGUCUUGACGGUACCUAAUCAGAAAGCCACGGCUAACUACGUG
rnacentral:rRNA from 1 species